CUGACUUUUUAAACUAUAUAUAUACUUUAAUAAAGUUUCAAUUUACAAAUUACUUUGUAAGAUUAUGAUGAACUGCAGAAAAAAGGUAUAAACUAAUCUAUUACAGUAUCAAAGAUGAGAUUAAAAGUUUUCACAAAAACUUUUUCUUUUAAAAUAAAAAGAGCACGAUUCCUAAUAAAACCAGUGUAAGGAACACUAGAUUCAGGACAGUGGUUCUUCUUACAUUCACAUUAGCAUUAGACUUAAAACUUAACUAAGUUCCUGUAAGCAUUCUGCAGCAUAAUUAAAUUCAUUUUAUUCUCAAGUAGCAUUCUCUAUAUGGUUUACUAAAAAUUAAAUUCUGUUUGGUAAUUGUCAACUCUAAAAUUCAAAUAAGAUGGUUUAUCACAUACACUUAUCAUUCUGUAUUGUAUAUAUACACAUAUUCCUGGGAGUAGUUUUUUGCCUUUCUUGAGUACUAGUCCUGGAAAUCUCCAGAUGCUUUUUCAGUCUCGCAACGCGAGUAGAAUGAAUAUUUUCACUGGAUAGAACUCCUCUUUCCAACUUUUUCCUAAAGCUUAUAGGGAGGUUAAUUUUUGUUUCAGUAGGUUCAAUUAUUCUGCUAUUAAAGAAAAAUGAAUGCCCCCAAAUACUUUACCUAAAAAUUAUACGUGACAAAGUAUUUCAAAGCUUUAUAAUAAGUAGCAACAUAUUAGAUUUUUUAAACUUAAUUAUAUAUUUUAGAUCUGAUAUAUAUUAAAUUAACAGUGCUAAUUUUGCAAGGUGAUCACUUUUUCUUCUUUCUCUAGAGAUGCAUUUCUCCUAUGACCAUACUCUCCUUUAUUCCAGUCUAUAUACUUAAAUUUUUUCGUAACCAAAUCAUUCCAAUGUUUACAUUCACACUUUUUAAAAAGAUUUCUUUAAAAGGUAGCAUUUAUAUUAAUGGGCAUUUUUUAAGGUCACUGUCCUAAAUCUAAGGAAUAUGAAUUUUUACAGAUAGUCAUAACUUUGUUUGUACAUCCAAUGUUUGUAUUAGGUACCUACUGAGUUGGAUACUGGGCAGGAUUCAAAGAUAGGCAAUUCAUAUUUCCACCCUCAAUAAGCAUAAAAUCUAAUAUAAAUACCCAUAGUAAAUAGUUCAACAAAAUAGCAGCAAUCAAGCUUAAAUCUGUGAACAUGUUGCGAAGUACAAAAUCUUUAAGCCAACUCAAAAUAAGGGUGUCCAGAGAAAAGACCAAUCAUUGAUGCUUACUUCAGUUCUCCUGACUCUACUAUUCAUUUCCCCAGGGUUCUCUCAGAUACUAUUAAUGAGCAAGAAGUAGCUGUAUAGGUCCAUGCAAACCUGAAAAGGAUAAUGUAAUUCCUUCCAGAGGAUGUAAAACAGCUAGUACUGAAACUGCUUUCUGCCACACAUAGAUCAGUAUCUCAAGUCACUGAAUACUAUGUUCUUGAGAACUUGCAAAGACUAUUUUGAGUUGUUAUAAUUUUAAAAAGUAGUAAGUCCAUGACCCAGGGUAUUGGGGGUAUAAGGGAACACACUUAUGCAGAAUAAGUAAGUAAACAGACACAGUAAGCUAUGUUCCCCAGUUAAUUAUGUCAUUUAUGAAAAAGAAAACCUGAAAGCAGCAAGCAGAAAAUAGCAAGAAUAGGAACUGUUUUUAAUACAUGUCAAAGACAAAAAUAUGGAGUAUGAAAGCAAUGAAAAACAAUCUUGUUUACUAUCCUGUAUAUUCUAGAUAACCAAACAAGUCUGAAUGUUGAAAAGUUGUUCAAUGUACUCAGCAGAAAUCCUAAACAUUCAAUUCUUAUUUUGGCUUUACAUUUGUAAGUUUUCUUUUGUUGUUAUUCCUGUAGUUUUUAAAUGGUGUUACAUAUGUAACUUGCCUAAGUGAGAAAUAAAAGUAACAGAACUGAAGAACAUGGCUGACAGUUACCAUGAAUAUAUUAAACUUUUACCUUCUAAUAAAGCAUUAUUUCUUCUAACAUAUUUCCCUGUGCCCAGAUUAAAACUCUUUUUUCCACUAUAACCAUAUAUACAUGAAAAUUCAUUUAUGCCAAUGCACGAUCCUGUUCCAUCCUAGUAUCUUCCAAGUGUUAACUGGGUAAUUUGAAAUUAUUACUGAAAACUUUUAACUGUGAAAAACAUCAAUAUUUAAAUUCUGGAUUGAAUCAAAAGCAGGGAUAUAAGAAGAAAAGAGUAGCUAAAACAAAGUGAUUGUGACAAAUACAAAAUUAUUAAGACUUUUAAAAUGCAUCUACAAGAGAGCAUGUACAAACUAGGAAAAUAUCAAAUUUUUAAGCAAAAGCCAAGUAUAAAAAUAUCUUUAAAUAUUUUUUUCAAUAGUAUCCAAUAAUGAAGAUGAAAAGAAGCAGUUAUAUUUCUAUUACAUAAAUCGGCAUUUUUCUAUGUUGGCAAAGAUACAACUGAAUAAUAACUCAAUGCAAAGAACAUCAUUAAGAAGAGUAGGAUAGCUAAAGGUUAAAAUAUUUUCUACUUUCUGUAGCUAAUAUCAGAGUCUUACUUCCACUUUAUAAGAUUUUGCUGUUGUUCUUGUGUGUUUUAUUUGCGAUAGUGAUGAUGUUACAUGUGUAACUUGCCUGAAUGAGAAAUGAAAGGAACAGAACCAAAAGGAUCUUCUGGAGGAUGGUUAUGUGGAGCAGAAAGUGAGUCUACAUUCUUAUCUGAGGAUGCUCUCUCCUCGAGCCUAUCUGCAAAAAUAAGAUGAAAUGAAAUAAAAAAUGAAAAAAAAAUGAUCUUUAAAUUAAAAAGUGAUAUACAACAUAAAUAAAAGUGAAAAUUAAAGCACCAGCCUUUUUGAAAAAUAUUAGGUUCAGAAUCUAUCAUUCUAAGUAUUAGGGAGUAGUCCUGAAUUUAAUACAUAUUUGUUGCUGCAAAAGCAAGUUUAACAGUAUAAUCCAUGAUAGGUUUCACUAAAUACAAUUAACCUAAUAAUAAACUUACUCUGGUUCAUUUAAAUACUACUUGUCCUCAGCUUUAAGAUAUUGGGCCUGAACUCAAACCCAGCUAAAUAAAAAGAGACAUAUUUGACAGACUGUCUCCAAAAAUAAAUUUAGAAAAAAAUCUUGCAAAUGGUCAUUCAUCCAUAAAGUAGGUAAAUCUGACUUCUCAAUAGCAAUAAAAAUUCACUAUAUUUUACUUUUUUGUUCAUUUUUCAUACUACUUUGUAUUAUCAAACCAUUCUCUCUCUCUCUCUCACACACACACACACACAAACACACAUGUCCCUCCCCACACUCACAAAGACUUACAUAAAAACAGAGUUUAUUGAUUCACCCAACAAGUAAAUUUGAGUAUCUACUAUGUGCCAAUGUGCCAGGCACUAUUCUAGACAACUGGCAUGUAAUGUCAAACAAAACAAAGACCCCUGACCUUAUGCAGAUUAUAUGCUGGUGUGGAAAAACAAAUAAUAGGCAAUAGACAUAAUAAGAAAUGUAUAUGGUGUGUUAAAAGCUAUAGAGAAAAAUGUAGUUCAGGGUAACAGGAAUUCAGGGAAUGGGUAGAGGUUUUAGUAGUAGAGUGAUUCUAAUAGUCACUAGGUAAGAAAAGACUUGAAGGAAGGAAGGGAGUGAACACCUAGGAAAGAACAAUCGGGAAGAGAAAGAGCUGGAGGCCCAGUGUGUUUGAGUUGAUAUAUCCUGACUCCCUAGUAAUGAUUAUCUUUUCCCUGCUCUUAAACUCUCCAUAUAGGUCAGGGAUGUGGGCUCACACCUAUAAUCUGGGAGACCAAGGCAGAAGGAUUUCUUGAAACCAGCCUGAGCAACACAGAGAGAUGGUAUUUUGAUUUUUUUUCACCAAGCAUGUAACGAAAUUUGGAUCUCUCCCGAUCUUUACAGAAUGUUAACUUCACAAUAUUCUAUAACAGUCAAUAACAAACACAAUACUUUAAGAAUACAAAAAUACUACUAAAAAUUGAGGCUGCAGUGAGCCAAAAUUGUACCUGGAUGACAGGGAGACCCUGUCUCUAAAACAAACAAACAUCUCUCCACAUAGUAGACACAUACUAGUUGAGAACUUCCUGAUUUUUGUAGGAUGUCUAGCCUCCGAUUCUUGGCAAUCAAAAUUCUAUUUGAGACUCAUUCUACCUCCUUUCCAGAUAUUUCGAGCAUUUCUGCCAGCAGACCUUUGGUCCACAGCCAUUUGAAGAAAUCCAAAUCAUGUUUAGACUGACCUAUAUUCCAAGAACUCCAUGGCCCUGAAUGCAUUUAUGGAGUAACAGUAAAACCAGUAAGUAUGCCUUGUAUCAGAAUCCUCCUGGACUCCCCCACUCUUCUCCAUUUCCCAAAUUCCAGUAUAUAAAGCACUGAGGACAGAGAAAAGAGGGGGUGAGGAAGAACAAAUGGAAGAGACUGACUCAGAGUGAUGAUAACAGCAUGUCAAUAUCCAAGGGCCCUCAUUCCUGAAAAUUAAGACCAAAAGUAUAAAUAUUUAAGUCUGAAUUAGAAACAGACUUUAUACCUCAA